rnacentral:rRNA from 1 species
UGGGGAAUUUUGGACGAUGGGCGAAAGCCUGAUCCAGCAAUGCCGCGUGUGUGAAGAAGGCCUUCGGGUUGUAAAGCACUUUUGUCCGGAAAGAAAUCCUCUGGGUUAAUACCUCGGGGGGAUGACGGUACCGGAAGAAUAAGCACCGGCUAACUACGUGCCAGCAGCCGCGGUAAUACGUAGGGUGCAAGCGUUAAUCGGAAUUACUGGGCGUAAAGCGUGCGCAGGCGGUUUUGUAAGACGGAUGUGAAAUCCCCGGGCUUAACCUGGGAACUGCAUUCGUGACUGCAAGGCUAGAGUAUGGCAGAGGGGGGUAGAAUUCCACGUGUAGCAGUGAAAUGCGUAGAGAUGUGGAGGAAUACCGAUGGCGAAGGCAGCCCCCUGGGCCAAUACUGACGCUCAUGCACGAAAGCGUGGGGAGCAAACAGGAUUAGAUACCCUGGUAGUCCACGCCCUAAACGAUGUCAACUAGUUGUUGGGGAUUCAUUUCCUUAGUAACGUAGCUAACGCGUGAAGUUGACCGCCUGGGGAGUACGGUCGCAAGAUUAAAACUCAAAUGAAUUGACGGGGUCAUAGCUGUUUCCU